rnacentral:tRNA from 22 species
GGCGGACGUGGCCAAGUGGAUUAAGGCAG